UACGUAGGCAGCAAGCGUUGUUCGGAGUUACUGGGCGUAAAGGGUGUGUAGGCGGUCUUCUAAGUUUGGUGUGAAAUCUCCCGGCUCAACUGGGAGGGUGCGCCGAAAACUGGGAGGCUAGAGUGCGGGAUGGGAGAGUGGAAUUCCUGGUGUAGCGGUGAAAUGCGUAGAUAUCAGGAGGAACACCAGUGGCGAAGGCGGCUCACUGGACCGGUUCUGACGCUGAUGCGCGAAAGCGUGGGGAGCAAACGGG
rnacentral:rRNA from 1 species